rnacentral:lncRNA from 1 species
GUUUUGUUUUGCACAGCUGAUGCAUUCCAGGCAUUGCUGGGAUGCAUUCCGCUUCUCCUCUUUCCCUCCAGCCCCUGGGCUGAGCCAUAUAUAUAGCCAGCCUCCCAGUGUGCACUCCUCAAACUCUUGUCCUCUCUCCCAGAGCCUGCCCAGGACUGCGUUUGCCAGGACCACCAGCCACUCCUGAUUCUGGCUCAGAUGAGGACCUGCUACCCUGCUAAGAUGGCUUUCCAGGUAAACAUGGCUGAGAUGUGCUUCCUUCACUGCAGGUUUUGAUUCUGUUCCUUUAGAUGUCUUUUACCUCUACAGUGGACCCUUGACUUACAAACUCAAUUCAUUCACAAGUGCUGGUUGUAACUUAAAUUGGUCAAUUGAAGGCUCAGGCUCCUCUACACAGCCUUCAAAGUCUCCUGCAUUCAGGCAGAUCUCAGUGUCCUUAGAGAGACAUUGACCCAGGAUUUCUCAACCUCACACAGGAAAGGAUGUUGUAAUGUUCCUUCCAGAACUCUUCAAGGGUUAAAUCUGUAUCUGAGACCAUCUGAAGCACAAGCAGCCAGCAUUUGGUCAUAAGUCAAGACUUUGGUGGUAAGUUACAACUAAAAUUCCAGUCAUAACCCAAGUUCUUCGUAUGUCAGGCCAGUCAUAACUCAAAAGUCAAGUGUACUUUAACGUCAAUUCUGAGGGCCUCUAGGGCUCUGACCUUGGCUCUUCACUCCAAACCUAUAGGACAUUAUUUCUCACGUGGUUUACAUAUUCUGAGCCAAACUCUUUCUCUAGUCAGUCCUUGGCACCCUACAGAGAUGCCUCUCCUUUUCUGUCACUCACUAAGCACACAGCUUUUGUUUGGAGACCCACAGUAGUAAUGGAUUGGGUCCCAGGAGAACCAUAGUGUACAGUUGUUCAGUCUACACAUUGCACAAAGACAUUUGAGGAAGGAGGCUGUGCUGUGGAUACCUGGAGAAAGGCACACUGUUUUUUUAUAUGAGAAAUAUUCAUGUAAACACAUAUAAUUAAGUUAGAUAACCAGCUGAACUAGAAUAAUGUGUUUCAUUAUCAUGUCACUAUGUGAAAGUGAAAAUUCUUAGCAUCUGAAAAUAUUUGGUGGAAAACAGUUCCUUUUCAUUUGUAAUGAAUCAACUUUAGUUUUUAGAGCUGUUUAAGAUUUACAAAACAACUGAGCAGAAAUCAGAGUUCUAUAUAACCUUGCCUACCCCACUUCCACCCCACUCUCAGAGUUCGAUGCUAUUUACACAUUGCAUUAGUGUGAUGCUUUUGCUGCAACUGAUGAGUAAAUAUUGAUAGUUUACAAGAACUAAAGUCCAUAGUGCACUCCAGGGUUCUCUCUGGGUUAUACAUUCUAUGAAUUUUGACAAAUGUAUGAUGACAUGUAUGUACCAUACAGAAAGAGUUCUCUUGCCCUAAAAAAUACCCUGUGUUGCACCUAAUCAAAACUUCCUCUAUCCUUCCCCUUCCACAGGCCCUGGCAACAACUAAUCUUAUUACUUUCUCCUUUGCUUUGAGAAAGGUAUACUUUUUGUCUGCAGAAGGGAAUAUCCACCAGCCAAAAUCACAGAUACUUCUGCCAGAAGGGCACCACUUUUAAAACUGAACAAAGAUCUUACAGCAGCUAGCUAAUGCCUUGAGUCCAAGAUCUAGUCCAAUCACGAUCAUAAGGUCUUCCCCUGAAACAUUUCAAUAUAUCCCAUCUCCCUGUUUCCCUUUAUCUAGUCCAUUUUUUUCUUGGUAAACAUUUCCACCCAAUUCUGUUUGGGCCACUAUAACAAAAAUUCUAUUGACCAGGUGGAUUAAACUAUGAACAUUUAUUUCUCACAGUUCUAGAGGUUGGAAAGUCCAAGGUCAAGGUACCAGGUCGACUCAGGAUCAGAUAAAGGCUACUUCCUGGUUCCUAGACUGUCUUAUCCCUGUGUCAGCUCAUGGGAAAAUGGAGAGAGCUCUAUGGGGCAUUGCUCAUGAGGGUACUAAUCCCAUUCAUGAAGGUACCCCUCCUGCCUCAAUCACAUCCAAAGGCCCUACCUCCUAACACUAUCACCUAGAAGGUUAGGAUCUCGGCAUAUGAUCUGAGAAGACCCAAACAUCUAAUCCACAGCAAUCACCUUAUGCCCCCCUCCCAUCUAUCAACCCAACCAUCUCCUCUUUCCGUGCUGCUGCUGCUAUCGCUGUCCAAAAGAACUUUCUGCAAUGUCACAAAUGUUCCACAUCUGUGCAGUCCCCUGCAGCAGCCACUGGCUGAAAGUGGCUCAUAGUACAGAGGAACUGAAUUUUUAAAUCCUAUUUCACUUUAGUAAUUUAAAUUUAAAUGCCCCCAUGUGGCAAAAUGACUAUCAUAUUGGACAACACAAGUUUAAGGUUUUACCCCUGCUAUUUUUCCCAUUGCGGUAGAAUUCAUAAGCUCCUCCUACCUUCAAGCUUGACAUUCUCCCUUCUCUGUGAGUCUUCUCUGACUAUGCAGAAUGAGAUGAUUCCUCCUGACCCUUCUGGAACAACUGGCUCUCAAGUUACUCAUAUUUUAUUAUCAUCAAAUAUGCACAUGUGUAGUUCUUUCUUAUAUGUUAACAUGUCUUGUAAAAUUUCUUUAAUUUAUGAAACUAUUUUAGUGUUGCUUGUCUGUACCUUUUUAGCUUUCCUUCUAUUGAAAACUGCGCAAAACUCUUCAAACUCUGUGCCCUGAGGAAACAGAGCAAAGUUUUGUAACUAAUGCUUCAUCUGGUGAUAAUUGAAAGUGAUGGCUGGGGGGCUAAUUCAUGCCAUUUGAGAUGCCAGGGCACCAUAUCCAAGGUAUAAAAAAUGGGAGAAGAAACAAUAACAUCAAAAGAAAUUGAAAGUUUACAUCUAAGAUUCAGCAAGGAAUAGAGGAGGAGUACUGAUCAGAAAGAACUGCAUAGCUGUGUGGCCAAGAGUUUGGCUUCCCAGAGGACAGACUCUGGCCUACCAGGCUAGAACUUUCUGUGAGACCUUGUGCUAAUGGUUUAACUUACAGAACCUCAGUCUACUCACCUGUAGCUGGGUGCCCGCCUACAUGUUAGCAUUGUCAGCAUUAAGUUGACCAAUGAGGAUUUUGCCAGCAGAAGAAUGGCUUCUCUAGUCGCCUUAAUUUUUGUUUUGACAAAACUUUGCUAUCGUUCAAAAUGGGCCUCGAGACCUGUAUAAAUGGAUGCGGUCAGAAACAGAUUCCCAAUUCUAAGUGGCCAAUGAAAAGGAAUAAAAGGUAAGGCCUAGCUCUAGGCCAGACCUUUGGAAACCUUACCCCUAACUCGGAUAUGUCCUAACUGGACUGUCCUUCGAUGGAUUUGAUAGUAUUUAUGUACCUGACUGAGACAAAACUACUAAAAUUGGAAGAUGGGAGAGAUUUGUGGGUUAAGAAAUUUGAGCUUUAAGCGUCUUCAGCCAAAGUUACUUAAUUUCUUUAAAUCUGAGUUUGAAUCUGAUCAUUCUCGCUAAUUCAUCCCUGCCCACAUAGUCAUCCACACCACUAUCUGUAGAUGCCCUUGCAUUGUAUUUAGGAUAAUGUCCCAACCACAGCCCUCCGGAUCUGCCAGCUGCCUGUCUCACUAGUCUUAUCUCUCACACGUUCUCUUAGCUCCAAAAAUAGUGGCCUCAUUUUCAGUCUGUCAGAAUUGCUACUUGACAUAUUUUUGUUCCUGGGUUGUCCAACAGCAUCUUUUUUUUUUUUUUUUUUUUGGUAUCGAUGAUCAAACUUGGGACCUUGUCCUUGUGAGGCAAGCAGCAGAACCACUGAGUUAAAUCCCUGGCCCCUCCAACAGCAACUUAAUCAUCUGUCUGCAAUGAUUUUCACUCCUAACAUCAGUACCACCACCCCCUUUGCCUUCAUAAACCUUAAUAACAAGGCUUACCUUAGUUGCCUUCUUUUUUCGUACCCAUUGCUUCACAAUGCCUCUUCCCUCAGCAGACUCUGAGAUGUCACCAUCUGUGCAGAGCUUAGUGCUCAAGUGAAGUGGGGAUAUGAGAUUUAUCUUUUUCACAGCUACAUCCCAGAAUCUAGCCCCUGGCUCCUCCUAAAACACACUAAUGGUUGAGUGAAACCCUCCCUAUCUACCUCUGUAGACUGAUAAAAAAUGGAGAUGAUGUCUGUACAGUGCUUAACAUAAUUCUUGGCCAUGGCAAAUGUCUUAGUGUUGGCUGUUGUUAAUGAUGCAAAUAUUUAAGUGAUAAAUUUGUUUCAUUUCUAAAUUCUUUGGUGGGCACAUCUCUAAAUGGGAGAGUAAAAAGAAGAUAAAUAAUCUGGUAUUUGGUACCCAUUCUUCUCAAUACCAUUAAAGUUUUAAAGCAGAAUGAGAUGAAAUAAUGUCCCAAGCCUACAAUUGAAGCCAGGACUUUGAUCUGUUGGAUCCAGUAUAAUUGUAUGUUUCCAGAACCCUGGAGUCUGGCUGUGUACCAGGUGCAGGCAUCCAUAACCCAAUCCAUCAAUCAGAUGUCACAAAUUUAGAAGACUUUUUUCUCUUUAAAUAGAAAUAUGAGCUAUGCCUAUGGGAAUCUACAUGUUAGCACUUGGAAAAUGACUACAGUGAAUAUCACAUAAAAACACAAUUUACAAAAGAUAAUUAUGGAGUCCACAUGAAACUCUUACAUAUGAAUCUUCUCCCUGAAUAAUCAAAGAUAAGUACCUUACUUACAGCUGUAAUCUAAAAUAGGAUUUUCAUAGUAGAAACUAGGUUACACCAACAUUGGUGCAUUAUACUGUUUUAAAUAAAUGUAUAAUUUAUUUUCAACUUAUCAGGUCUCUUACAUUAUAAACUUUACUGGAAAUCUAACACAGGCAGGAUAGUAAUGAUUCUUAGUGUUGGAAGAACUUUCAUAUGUUAGAAGAAAGAAGGUGGUAGGCCAUGUGUCAGGGUGAUAUUUUAAAUUCUAUUUUUAAAGGCUGGCCCAAAACUGUGUGAGAAGGGAGCAAUGGGGGACAUUUGAGAAAGGGAAUGAAAACUGGAAUACUUUCUACAAAACUGGAAUACAUUCUCCAAAGUAUUAUUCCUUUACUCUUAGUAUCCCAAGACUCUGGCUUCUUCUACCAGUAGAUUUGGUGUAUCAGUGAGGGAUGCAUUUGGCUACAAGUAACAGAAAACUCCAAAAGCAAUGUCUUCAACAAAUAGGAGAUUGUUUUUUACAUAUUACAGAACACCGUAGUUAGAUGGGUGCUGGCAUUGUUCACAGAUCAUGAUGCCACGGCAGAUCCUGGUUCUUCUAUCUUUCUCAUGGGCCCUCAAGAGUGCCUUUUAGUCCAAGAUGUUGGCUUCUAGUUAGGGCAUCACUUCUGCUUUCAAAGCUCAAGGAAAGAGAGGAAUCCAUCUCCUUUUAACAGAAAAUCAAAAGCUUGUACCAGUACCCUCAGGUAAAUAUCUACUUAUUUCACAGGGAAUAACUAGCAGUGAUAAGCACUUGAGUUAGUGCUUUUAUAUUAUCCUAGUUGCAGAUGAGAAGCAGG